GUGCUCGCUUCAGCAGCACAUACACUAAAAUUGGAACGAUACAGAGAAGAUUAGCAUGGCUCCUGCACAAGGAUGACACGCAAAUUCAUGAAGCAUUCCAUAUUUUA
ensembl:snRNA U6 U6 spliceosomal RNA